rnacentral:rRNA from 1 species
UACGUAGGGUGCAAGCGUUAAUCGGAAUUACUGGGCGUAAAGCGUGCGCAGGCGGUUGUGCAAGACAGAUGUGAAAUCCCCGGGCUUAACCUGGGAACUGCAUUUGUGACUGCACGGCUAGAAUUUGGCAGAGGGGGGUAGAAUUCCACGUGUAGCAGUGAAAUGCGUAGAUAUGUGGAGGAAUACCGAUGGCGAAGGCAGCCCCCUGGGCUAAAAUUGACGCUCAUGCACGAAAGCGUGGGGAGCAAACAGG